rnacentral:lncRNA from 1 species
ACCGACCGACCCACCGACCAACCAACCAACCAACCAACCUCUUCCUCGUGUGUGUUCUCAAUCACCAGUACUCUCUCUCUUUCUUUCUACUAUAUUUCUCCUUCUUUUACUCUACUAACUAUCUUUAUCUCUUUUCUUUAUUCUAACUCCUCGCUGGUAACUUACACUCCGCAUAGGUGCGCGUGGUAUUCCUUGCUUUUCCUUCGUUACACCGUGAGCUUUCCUCCUUCUUUUCUUUAGACCGGUCUCUCUAUAUACAUUAUCUAUGCGUACGCGAAGGGUGCGAAAGAAGUGGGAAGCAAUAAAAAUGGGAGAAAGAAACUAAGAAAGGAAAGAAAGGGAGGAAGGAAGGAAGUUCCACGCGAGACUCUUCUGCGGUUAGAAAGUAUGAGAAUUUAAAUCCGUAAGAAUAAGAGAAAGAUGGCUGAACUAGCAACGAAUGAAAAA